AUUACCCAGCAAUACCUGGGAAAAUUAUUGCAAAUUUUAUUAGCAAUAGUAGUUUAGUUAAUUUUUUAUUACAGCCACAACUCUUACCGAUGCCGGACGUUGUGCUCGCAGUAUCAUAAAUUGUAUAUUUUUGCGUACCUUCAUGUCAAACAUGAACCACUCGGUCUCGUAGGCAGCCACAGCGAUGGCCAGAUUCUGGAAUAUAUUACAAAAACAGGCAGGCAAAGGCCACUACAACAACAACAUCAACUACAAGUACAAGUACAUCAAUUCACCUGCUCCCUCAGCUCAUUGGCAUACCAAUAGAGUGCCAAUAUCUGUGCGAGUAUCAUGUUUAUAUACGCACUCACAAUGGCUAUAUGUGCGGACGAGUCCACCUAGACGGAAAAGCAACAGAAGAGGCAUACAUACAUAUAUACUGCAAGCAUGUGAGAGCUGCUGGGGGUUGAGCAAACGAUGCUUGAGACGUCGCAAACGAUGCUGCAGCGACUGGCACAUCACAAUGCCGAACAUAAUGAAGCCCACACAGAGACUCGUAUAGGGUAUAUACAUGCAGCAGCCCAUCGGUGUGAUGAGCAGGUGAAAGACGAACCAAAUUUGAUAGUAGGGUGUGGCAUAUUCAUUGACGCCCGGUAUCUUGCUGCCAAAGGGCAGAACUGCAAGUGCUCAAAGCUAACGACAGUAUUUGAAGCUCUUGAUUAAUUUUAGUGGAGCAAGGAUUUUGGGGAAAACGUUCAAAGGUAAUUCAAGUUUCAAGAUAAUGAAGUUUUGAUUAAUUUUAGUUGAUGUGAAGAACUUAGAGCAAGUGGUUAAGGAUCAUAGGAUUGGUUAUUAAUGGAAGCUGUCUGUUGAUUAAGAGUAUCAGAGCUUUCGGUGGAAGCUUUCAAAGCAACUCUUCACUCACCCCUCUCAGUAGAGCUCAGCGGAUAAAGGGCAAAGCCAAUGCAGGUGAGCAGCCCAAAGAAGAGAUUCCCACGCGCCAUAAGUCGACCCUGCUGAUUCAUCUUAGCCAAAAGGUAGGCUAUAUAGCGAUCAUCCAUGCGCUUCAGCUCAUAGCACGAGUUGCUCAGAUCGCUGAUCAGCUGAAUAUAUCUCUGCUGAUCGAAUAGCAGCAAGUACGCACGCAGCACCGUGUUUAUCCAGAGCACCAGCAUAUAGGAGUUGCGUAUGAUGCCCGUGAUGCCCUCGUCCGUCGUGCACAUGUAGAAGAUCUGGGUGAGCACAUGGACAAUGCUCAGUGUUAGGCAAAUGUAACGUUUCACAUUCUUAUCGUAGAGCAGCGCCCAGAAGCGCAAUAUCCGCACAUUCAUGUAAAUCAAUUGGAUGUCCUCGAGCAUAUUGGUAACUCAACUAUUUGUCGAUAUGUGCAGUCGGCUGACUUUUAUAUCUUUGCCCAAGGUUAUGCAAUAGUUAUUAUAAUUUUGUUGUGCUGCCCUGAUUCAUGCCACGCCUUGCAAGCGCUCCCAGGCACAAUUUUUAAAGUAAUUUUCUUCAUUUUGCAAUGCUCGCUCAGGGAGUGAAGAUUGGAGUAUAUUCGAUUGGCGUUAGGUACUUGAAAUGUUGAGAAAUUAAAGUGAAUGACUUGAACUUAAACAAGACUUGAAAAUAACUGAAAACUUGUUUAAUAAACUGUACAAAAAUUUUUAUUUACAAAAUAAAAAAAUUAAAAAUGAA